rnacentral:lncRNA from 8 species
CUCUGAUAUUAAAACAAAGUUCUUAAAGUUUUGUAUAAGGCCUAUAACAGCCUGGUGUGUCCCCCACAGUAGACAAGGACAUGGCGGUAUGUGUAUGGGACAGCCUUCUAAUAAGUGGUGAGAAUGGCAUGGAAAUGGAGUGACCUUUAAAGUUAUUCCAAUGUUAGCAAUCCAAAUGACGGAUAUCUUAAUUUUUUUUAGGGACAGGAGAAACUGUAUCUAGGCCAACCUGCAUCUCCACCAGUAUUUGAGUGGAGGAUACUGUCUGCAAUGGAAAAAAGGUCAACACGGUGCAACAGUCCACUCCCAUUAUGGAAAUGCAUCCCAAAAUUCUCCAAAAUCCACCAUAUCCCAAGUCUCAUCUUAAAGGUUUUGUCAAGGACAAGCAAGCAGACCACGAACAAUUAAACUCUAAACCGGACACACAAAGAUCCCACAUCUACACAGGCUGCUGAACAUCUCUUCCAUGCUUCAGGGAGUGUGACAUAAUCUGUGUGGAUGGACUAAUUGACUACUUGAUUGAGUUCCCUGAAACAAUUGAUCCAGCCUAGCAGCAAGUCAACACCUGACUCCGGACUUCGUUUUCCCCGUUGUAGACAGAAUCCAUGAGGGCCUAAACAUCUCUCUGCAUUGUGCCACUCAGGAUUAGAGGAGAUGGAUGGACAUUGAAAAUAGAGAGGGUCUGGAAUUCUCCCCUGGAGGACUCAGUCAUGCUGAACGCUGACAUCUGAACGCAGCAGGGGGACUGCAUGCCUACUGCCUUGACUUCAGUACUUCCUGCAGUCAAACGACCAAAUCGCCCUCUAGUGGCCUCAUGGGUGGAAUGUUAUUCAUAAUUUCCUAAUUAAUAAAUAUUUUUUUAUCCGGUGUUUUUAUGUGAAACGGUUUUGUUAUUUCAUUCAUCUAUGAUGUAUAUCAAAUGUAAUAUUGGGAUGCAAACUCAAAAUUGAAUACAUUUCAACUCUAUAUCUGACAUGGUACAGGUGUCUUUUAUUUAAGGCCAUAACCAUGUGUGUGAGGUGUAUACUUUUGAUCAAAGUAGAUUUGUAUAAGACUACCAAGAAACACCCUGCGUGACCCU